CCCUGCAGAUGCAAAUAGAAAUAAACCAGAAAACCUCACGGUACUCCUUGACAAAAAGACACCGAGGGAAGCCUGCGGGAAGGAUCCCCCAGACACCAGGGCACGGCAGACGUCUGCAUGUGUUUUCAUGAACUCGGUUAAGCUCUUUCCCGCAACACCCAGCUGAGAUGCAAAAAUCAGUGCAUGCAAACUGCAAAAGGCCCGCAAACCGUUUCAUGCCGGCCCAGACACCUCUGACAAGGCAGGGAGCACCGAGACAGGAAGAGAACACCAUGGAACAGGAUUCGGAAACCAUCUGCAACCAACAGACUGUGAUGUUGAGAGAAGAAUGGAAUACACAAACGUUGGACUUUAAGUUGUAAAAAAUUCCCAGAGUGGGAAUGUAUGUAUCUUUUCUCAUACUACUUUUGACAACCUAAAGUAGCCAAAAGAAAAACAAUCCAGAGGAAAGAACUGUCAUCUGUUCAAAUCCUACAACUGUCUCAAUGCUGCUUAGAUUCCUAAAGGUGCUGUUUUUAAAAAAUGUGUUUAAACAAUCCAAUCCAAAAAUGGGCAGAAGACCUGAAAAGACAUUUCUCCAAAGAAGACACAUAGAUGGCCAACAGGCACACGAAAAGAUGCUCGACAUCACUAAUUACUACAGAAAUGCAAGUCAAAACAACAGUGAAAUAUCACCUCGCACCUGUCAAAAUGGCUAUCAGGAAAAAGUCUACAAAUAACAAAUGUUGGUGAGGAUGUAGAGAAAAGUGAACCCUUGUACACUAUUGGUGGAAAUUGGUGCAGCCCCUAUGGAAGACAAUACAGAGGUUCCUCAAAAAACUAAAAAUAAAACUACCGUAUGAUCCAGCACUUCCACUCUUGGGUAUAUAUCCAGAAAAAAAAUGAAAACAUUAAUUCAAAAAGAUACAUGCACCCCAAUGUUCAUAGCAGCACUAUUUACAAUAGCCAAGACAUGGAAGCAACCCAAGUGUCUAUCAACAGAUGACUUGAUUAGGAAGAUGUGAUACACACACACACACACACACACACACAAUGGAAUAUUACUCAGAUAUAAAAAAGAAUGAAAUACUGACAUUUGCAGCAACAUGGAUGACCCUAGGGAAUAUUAUACUUAGUGAAAUAAGUCAGACAGAGAAAGACAAAUACUGUAUGAGAUCACUUACACGUGGAAUCUAAAAAAAUAGUACAAAUGAAUAUCAGACUCACAGAUAGAAAACAAACUUGUGGUUACCAAAGGGGAAAGGGACAAAUUAGGGGUAUGGGAUUAACGAUAAAAGCUACUAUAUUUAUAAUAGAUAAGCAACAAGGAUAUACUGUAUAGCACAGGGAAUUAUGGCCAUUAUCUUGUAAUAAAUAACCUAUAGUGGCGUAUAAUCUGCAAAAAUACUGAAUCACUAUGCUGUACACCUGAAACUAACAUAAUAUUAUAAAUCAACUGCAAUUCAAUUUUUAAAAAAAAGAAAAAAGAAAAAGAAAUUAUUUAGAAUUUGAAUUUACUUUAGGCAAGGAUGUGCAGCCUAAUUUUUCACAAACCCCACCAUUCUCUGUUGUCUUAACUUGGCAUUACUUUCUAGUUUGACACAUGUGCCAACAUUCUUUAUUGUCUGCACUUGGCCCAAUUCACACAUUUAUGUUACCUAGAUUUAGGUUCCCUUAUGGGAACCGCUGAUCAUAUUUUUUAUUUCCUGAGGAGGGGAUGGGCGAGCCAUAAAUUUUUUAAUCCAAUUCUCAACGGAGUUCAUGAAUUAAAAAGGCAUAUCGGGGCUUCCCUGGUGGUGCAGUGGUUGAGAAUCCGCCUGCCAAUGCAGGGGACACGAGUGUGGUCCCUGGUCCAGGAAGAUCCCACAUACCGCGGAGCAACUAAGCCCGUGAGCCACAACUACGGAAGCCCGCGCGCCUAGAGCCCGUGCUCCACAAGAGAAGCCGCCGCAGUGAGAAGCCCACGCACCGCAACGGAGAGUAGCUCCCGCUUGCCGCAACUAGAGAAAGCCCGCGCACAGCAACGAAGACCCAACGCAGCUAAAAAUAAAUAAAUUAAUUAAUUUUUUUUAAAAAAGGCAAGAAAGGGGCUCUUAGUGACAAGCUGCAGAAUCGAUUUGAAAGUUCAAACAAGAAUGUCUGUGAAGUCGAAAGUCCUCCACAAAUAGCAGAGAUUGUUAUGCUGGUAACAGCUUCUCAGAUUCCUCUAGCACCUUGGAGGUGCCUUGAUAAAUACAACCUCAUGAAUCUCUAAGACAAUCUGAGGUCCGUGCAGGGCAAAAACUACCCCCUGCCAGAUGAAGAGAUGGCUUGGCCUGUAUACUGGGCAAACUUACCACACUGAACCAAGAACACAACAGGAAAAGGGCCUUGCUCCAACAUACCCAAGGCAACUUUUGUUUGUCGUUUUGUCUUGCUUCACUGAACCUAACUGCUUAAAAAAAGAAAAAGAAAAAACAAAGAACCGUUCAAAUGCCAACACGAAGAAGAAAGGCUGGAGUCGUUUGUCCCACUCUCUGUCUGCUCACUGGUACCAGAUCGGUUUCUUCGCACCUCCAUGUCCUUCAUUGGUUUCCUGCCUCUGUGACUUGAAGGCUUAACCUGAUUUCACUUCCUUGAUAUGCUUCGCUCAUCUGUGUAUCCGUGAAAGCCCAAGGUGGUCAUUCAGAGCUGCUUCCUUUAUUUUCUUCUCUGUUCAUACGUAAACACUUCCCAAAUGCGGGGAACAAUAUUAAUAUUUCUAAACUGAUUUCCUUAUUACCUGAGGCUUCUUAGUUUCUUAAGACCUUUAGGUACCUCAAAACCAAUUUACCAACUUCUCACCUCCCCUCAGUUAGUUCAGCUGCCACAUUCUUCCUCUUUGUCAGCGGACUGUUAACUCCCUUCCUGACCAUACGCUUUGGCUUCCGCUUUACUGUGUUCACUAGCAAAUACCUUAAGCUAGUCCGCAGCUACCCUGCAAGAUCCAUGCCUUUCCAAUACACAGUAACCCUCCUCCACUUAAAUAGUAGCCUCCCCACCUACGUGCACUCCAUCUGUUCCCCUGAUGCAACCAACUCAAAAACCCAUUUAACUCUUUCAGUUACCUAGAAUUUUAUCGUUUCUCACUCUAUUAUGACUAUGGGGAAAAAAAAAAGAAAACACACAAGGAAAUUCCCAGGUAGACCUCCCAUUUCUAAAAAAUUCUCUCUUUCAUUUACAAAACUCCCUCAGAAAAAAAAGUCUCAGAAAAAUCCCAGGGGAGGGAGGUUCCAUCAUCUCUUUUGUAAGGAGAGUAGCAAGAUGGACAGUCUCCUUAUUUAUUUUGCAGAAAUGAUUCUAAUUUGGUGAAAACUUAAAAUAGCUUAGUUCUGAAACAGAGGUCAGAAUGUCAUCAUUAAAUAUGCACUUAUGUGUGUACACACACACCCACACACACACCCCACAUAAGCAGAUUGAUGUUUCCUGACAAUCAAGCCAUCGUAACGACCAUAGAAUAGUUUACUCAUGAGAACUGGAGGUGAGCCCGCCAGAGGAACCCCAGCACCAUCUGAUUGGAAGUGGUCGUCAUCCUCUAACCUCUGAACUCCCCAGAAUCUCUAAUCAUGUUUUUGCUUUGGCUAUAUAAUUGCUUUUAUAAGCAUAUUAAUUCAUAAUAGUUUCACAGUGCCCUGCACAAUGCAUUCCUGAAAUGUAACCAGGUGACCAGUAGAUGUAAACUAUGGAAGAAACUGAGAUCAGGAAGAACAUGGAUAAAAUCCAGCCUGGAAAGUGAGCUGAGUAGAAGAAAACAAACAGACUCCAGAGGGAAUGGGUCUGCCUUUUGUAAAAGAAGCAUGAUCUCUCUGGGAGUUUUCUUGAAAGGAAAAGUUUGGACCUGAGGUUGCAAAAGCCUCUGUACCUCUGCAGAUUCUCUCUGACUCACCAAAAGGAUAAAGCAACAUUUAAAAGCAGCAAAAUAUUGUCACACGUCACAUUCUGCAAGGCCACGGCAGGAAGACAGGACUAUCUUACUCUCAAUCCCAGCAUCCAGCUGCUUUGAAUUAAUAUCCACUGUCGAAUCCCAGGCCCAGGAAUGUGCCAUUGUUCUGACCAACAUUUACUAUGGAAAUCUAUUUUUGUUUCAUAAGCUGCUAUGUUUACUUUGCGAUGGAACUUCAAGAGUCUCUCUCUAAAACUAGUGCUGAGUCAGUUACUCAUUACUACAAAUAUGUUUUUAAAAAUAUCUUUUAAAGUAUUUUCAAAAACUUAUUUGGAGUAACCGCUAAGUUUCCAGAGUGUAUCUCCUAAUGUCUAAGGCUACAUGAAGAUUAGAAGCAUCACAACUUCUCCUCCCUUUUUAAGUCCAUCUGAAAAUAGCAACUAUUAUCUUAAAGAGGUACAGUAUUUCUAUUCUCAGCCAGACCAUUAGCUAUUUCUUUUCAUUCAUGUUCUCAUUCUAAGAAUAAAAGAUACUGCAUCUUAUACCAAUAUUACUGUAUGGCAGAGAGAAGGUCAGAGGAUUUUCUUUUUUUUUAAUGACUCAGAGUUACAGAAUUUAGAGAUAACAUUCUUAAAAAGUCCAGAAUGACCACAACUGCCUGAGGCUGUGAUUCACGGCCAUCUUUAAAUAAGAACUACACCAGUUUCACUGUCAAUCAGAAAGACUGAAUUUAAAUUUUAGAAUUUCUUUGACAAAUCCUUGGGAAUCUCCCCAAAUAAAUCCAAAGAGGCCUAAGUAUGUAUUGCUUAAGCGCUACUUCACCGCUUAGUAAUUCUUAACACCGUCUAACUCAACAUCCUAUGGAAAUAAAGCUGUGCUGCCUAAAAGGUCAGAGUUACAGUUUCUAAAUAAAGAAAACAAUAUUUUAGAAACUGAGCUGCAGCCCAAUGCUUCUAAAUCCUCACAGGUUUAAAGACAAAAAUACUAAAAUCCAUUUAGUUAGUUAAAUUUAGAUGAUUAGCAUGGCCAGAAUGUGUAGCUAUUUCCUGUUCAAUUCGCUAUUACUUUUUCCUUACUAUUUCAAAUAUUAAGAAGAAAAGAACACUGCUGGCUGAGUCUCAAUUGUCAUAAACAGAGAAAAUGAGCUCUACUAAGGAAUGUGUUUACUUUCACACAGGGAACGUGGUUAUACUUACAUCUUUUAUCAGGGCUGCUUAUAGCUUUUGACCUUUUAACAAAAUGAGCAAAUAUGGACUGGUUCUAUUUAUAUAUUUAUUGUUAAAUACGUAAUGAGAUGUAUUAAUUUGUGAACAUGACCUCAGACUUCUCAGGACUGUAUACACUGCUGUUCCUUAAAUGAUAAACUAUUUAUUGCAGCAGCAUUCCUAGCUUUUGGAAAGUCAUAUUUUUCCUUGGUUAGAAGUAUGUAAAUAUAACAACUUAGAAAGGCCCCACUUGAUUACCAAAAAUUUGGGGAGAGCACAAUGAAAAAUGUUUCAUCACUGGUAGUUCCAACAGCAGUAAAUUUUCUCUGGAUCAGCUGGACUUUCAAUAUUUUAUUUCAUCAUUAUCAUAAGAAGAGAUCAAUUGUAUUUUAGGCCAGAGGGGAAAGGAGGGCUAAAUUGAGAUUUUAUUCUGAAUUUACUAUUCUGAACCACAGCUAGGCUGUCCAUAUUUAUUAUCCAAUAGCCAGUGACCUGCAACAGCUCCACUUAGGGGGCAGAUGGCCUGACCACCAGCCCCGAAAUCCAGCCAAAAGGGCACAGGGCCUGGGCUGGAGACACAGCAAGAAUCCAGCAGGGCACCUGGCUCUCGAUUUACCCCUCUGCAACUACCUGAGCCGCUGAGUUAAUAUUGUGGAUAAAAUCAAACUUACGAAUUUAAUAACCUGGGUUAUCUGGCCUCUCUCCAUCUUUAGUUCUUUUUUCACCCAAUUACAAAAAUAUGCUUGCUGUAAAUAAUUCAAAUUUACAGAAUUGUAAGGUUUAGAAAGUAAAAGUCCCUGCACAUUCCACCCUCUGGUAAACACUGGUAAUAGUGACAACCUAGUGUCCUUCCCUGGUGGAGCGGGAUCUGAGAUAACUCUGAGAGGAGGUAGAGCAGCCUUGGGAAAUUCACUGGAAAGUUCCAAGAACACAGCUGCAGGGACAUCAUUAAAUGACACCACCACAUUACAAUGAUCCUCGAUCAACAGCUGGCAAAGAUGGUGAGUAUCAGAGUCACCAGUAGCUCCAACGAUUGGAGCACCUUUCCUUUUGGACGUGGCCAGGUUAAAGAGAAGAAAUGCACACAUCUUCACAGCAUACAAGAGAGGUAGAGGCCACUGGAUAUUGUAACCUAUUCUCUAGGUGUGUCGUCCCCCGCCCCCCCCGACCCAUGCAGCACUGCACAGCAUGUGGGAUCCUAGUUCCCCGACCAGGGAUCAAACCCACACCCCCUGCAAUGGAAGCAUGAAAUCUUAACCACUGGACCACCAGGGAAGUCCCUCUAGGUUUUUUGUGUUUUUUUUUAAAUAAAGGAUGUACUUUUUUUUCAAAAGUUAUUUAUUUAGUUAUUUUUGGCUGCGUUGGGUCUUCGUUGCUGCACGCGGG